rnacentral:rRNA from 1 species
UACGUAGGGUGCAAGCGUUAAUCGGAAUUACUGGGCGUAAAGCGUGCGCAGGCGGUUUUGUAAGUUUGUCGUGAAAUCCCCCGGGCUCAACCUGGGAAUGGCGAUGAAGACUGCAAGGCUAGAAUCUGGCAGAGGGGGGUAGAAUUCCACGUGUGAGCAGUGAAAUGCGUAGAGAGUGUGGAGGAACACCGAUGGCGAAGGCAGCCCCCUGGGUCAAGAUUGACGCUCCAUGCACGAAAGCGUGGGGAGCAAACAGG